CAACUGGCGGGCGCUUUCCCGACCCCCCGCGGGUUCGCCCCGCGGCCGACGGAGGGCAGGCCGGCGUGUUUACUGUGAACAAAUCAGAGUGCUCAGAGCAGGCCUCGCGGGGCUCGCCCCCGCGACUCGGCCUGAAUGCCCGCUCAUGGAAUGAUGGAAGAGGACCUCGGUCCAGUCUUUUGUGUCGGUUUUUGUGGCACCGAGGUAAUGAUUAAUAGGGACCGACGGGGGCAKU
rnacentral:rRNA from 1 species